rnacentral:rRNA from 1 species
AGUAAUCGCGGAUCAGCAUGCCGCGGUGAAUACGUUCCCGGGCCUUGUACACACCGCCCGUCACACCAUGAGAGUUUGUAACACCCAAAGCCGGUGGGGUAACCUUUUGGAGCCAGCCGUCUAAGGUGGGACAGAUGAUUAGGGUGAAGUCGUAACAAGGUAUC